AAUGCAGUGUAAUUUACAAAAAACCAAACCAAACCUCAAAAACAAACAAAAAAGUCGAUUGAGCAAAGAUAUGAACCUGUGCAAGUAAUUAGCUCAAGGACAGCCUCUUCCUUUCUGGUAUCUGCCAUGAGGGCAGCAAACUUCGGCAGAGGGUCAGAGUGGACAGCAGGACAGUCAUGGCUUACGGGGUGAGGUGUGUCAUAACCUUGAUUUAGUGAGAUGAAUCAAUGCUUGCCUGUCCAAGCCUCCAGUCAAGUUAAACAUGCCAGGCCUUGCAAAGAGAAGAGCCCAGAAUACCACUCACCUGAAGUCAUCUGUGAGACACUUACCUGCAGGGAAAUAACAGCUAAGAACUGCUAUCCUAUGACAUCUCUAGGCCAAGAUGCAACAUCUCCCUCAGAAUCAGCACCCCUUUGUUUCUUGCAAAGGCAAAUGAAUAGCCAAGUCUUACAUGGGACAGACUCUGCUUCUAUUUUCUGUCAAGGCCUGUAGGCAUGUCAGUCUCCUGGCAGAGCUACUUGGAGCUGCAGACCACAUCCUGGAGUGUCUGUAUCACACUGGGUAGUGCAGGGCCAGACCAUACAGCUCUCAGCUCUGUCUUCAGCCUGGGAAUUGAGUGUUGCAAAUUGAAGACUUCUGCACUCCUACACCAUGUUACUGGAAAUUUCCCAACUCUGUGGGCAUGUCUGUGUAAGGAAGCAUAACCUGCUUGCAGAUCUACCCAUGUAUCCAUCUAAAUAAUAAGGCAACCUUACCAAUGUCUGUUUCAUUGGUGUGUCAGGAUAAAACUCGCAGGUAGCCACAACACUGAAUGUUGCUUUGAGCUGACAGGAUAACAUGCACCUUCUUUCCUAUUGUAAAGUAACAGUUCCUGUUUCUACAGCCAGCCUUUCCCUAUGCCUGUUUUGUUUAAUUUAAAGGAAACCAAACCAUCAAAUUAUAAACCCCAGAAUUUCAAACACUGCAUUAUAGGUGCAGUGUGGUCUUUAAGUGUGCAGAAUCUAGCAUCCUAGCAUCAGACUACACCAUUUACUCCUAGAAACAGGUGGCUUUCAGACCAGCUCUGAAAGGCAGACAAUCAUUAGCCUUUUCAACUUUUUGGUUCUAAUGAGGACCAGACUAUAUCCAGGUGUAACACUGAAGCUACCAGUGCCACCCUGUAGCUUUAACUGAGCCAAAGGAACUAAUUUUGUGUAAGAUUAGCAGUGCAGAUGAGAACACUCCUUCUUGUGCAUCAGAUGACAGCACAGAACCCACCCAAAAGAAGGGAGUCAAGCAUGCUAGAUCAUAUUUCAAAUGUGCUAAAGAUGUUUCAUCAUGUUUAGCUCAUGUUAAAAUCACCAAAAGAUUUCUUUGUCCUUCCUCUUAAACACAUGGAACUGGCUGCUAGCUGAGGUAUGACACUGAGGAGACACCAGGCUGGACUGAGGUGUGCAGUUCCACAGGACUGAGAAGGCUUUGCAUCCUAAUGGGAGAGUAGUCACAGGCAGGGACUUCUUUGGCACUGCUGCACCCUGAAGCAAGUGAAUUGAGACAUAACUUCAAAGAGUCAAAGCCUCUCCCACUCUUUCAGGAAAACAGAAAAGGCCAGCUGGGACCCUAGAGAACUACAGCAACAAUACAUAACAAACAGCCACUAGAAGUGUGGCUGGUAUGAGUACUGGCAAAUAGACAUUUAUUUCUGAAGCUGAACGUGACUUUUAAAAAGACAUCUCAUGAAAUGACUGAGGGAAAUUACUUGGUCUGUUAAGUACAAAGAAUUUGUGGAGAUUUAUUGGUCUCCACCUUUGUUUUCCCUUAGAUUUUAGGGGCAGAUGAAAAGUUUUAUGUACACUUGCUACUUACUCUCCUCUGUCCUGUCUCCAUCACUUAGCCUUUUCAGCAUGAAAAGCUUCAAGACUGCUGUGGUAAAUUCUAAAUUGUCCCCUUGUUUUAUCAAGGACCAUAAUAAGAUGCUUUGUUUCUUAGCAUAUACCCUUAUUUCCUUAGGGAUGUGUUGAAAUUACCCUGUGCAUGGAGACUGACUUUAGUUGUUUUGAAAGGCUGAUUUUCUCUUUCUUUUCCAAAAUGGUCAGCAUCUCUUUAAGGCUGUUUGACAACUCUGAAAAUGGAAGUAGAGCUUUCUAAUGCAUGCUAAACAGCAGUCAGGAAAUGUUAACAGGAUGCAAAAGCAUUCUCUACAACCAGACAGGGACUAUGAAGAGAAGUGGCCAAAUAUGGUCCUGCUUCAGCAUUCCAAAAUGCCUUUGCCGAUGCAUGAGUCUGAGCAGCAGCAGCAAGUUUUCAUCACCACACAAAAUGAGUGGACUACAACAGAGUCUAUUUGCAAUGUUGCAUUUUUACUGCAAAAAACCCUACAAGUAGUCCCCCCACGUUAUUUUUUUUACCAUAAGGUAGUGCCCUUGCAGAGUGCCAGUGUGAUGGCUACAGGAGGGUCCUUCCACACCAGUGCAGCUGAGCCCUUGCCAGAGGCUAUGUCUGUUGGCAAAUAUGAAGGGACCAAUCUACACAGCCCUGCUUUGGGAGGGGUUUCAGAGCUCCCUAAGGACAAUUGCUGGCAUCCAAUUAACAUUGAAGGCAUUUUGGAGUGGUCUCUGCUUCACUGUGGGCACAGCAGCUAAGUUAAAUAAGGACAGAGGAGGUAUAUUGUGUGGAAUUGCAGUCCUGAUCAUGUUGACAAUUAAGGAAGUGGUUAAUAAUUGCAUUUUUGUAUACAAAAUGGAUCUUGACUGCCUUAUUACAAUGACUUGUACCUCAAAGAAGAACCAUCCUGACAGGAAGGAAUACAAAGACUUGAUGUUAGCUUCUUCUGUUUAUAGAAUUGUAUUUCUCAGAGAAAUAUAGCAGAGAGGUACUCAAACUAGUCCUAAAUGAGAGAUUAGACACCAGAAGUAGUAAUAUGAAAAAAAAAAAAAAUACUGCUUAAUGCUAAUACUGAAAUGUUUCCCCCAUUUUGUUUCCUUAUCCUGUCCUAGAAGUUGAUUCUGAGCCAAACAUAGUAAGAAUAAGAAAAAUUAUUACAGUUUAGUUUGAGGAGGAAAAAAAGGGAAGAAGCUUUCUAUCACUGUACUUUCUAGGUCUCAUGCCUGUGUGCAAUACUGUUCUGAUUGAAUUUUAUUUUUAAAACAGUUUAAAUAGAGCUGUCUGCAACAAUUUGAGAACUAAAUGAAGAGAAAAUAGCUUGUUGACCAUUCCUGCAAUGCAGUUCAGUGCUUUACACCAGAAGUUGUUAUACCAAGUGGUUUCCCCUCCAAAUCUCGUAUCUGUUAAGGCACCUGAAGAAGGAUGCUUCAUUAAUCUCUAAUUUUUAAAGCCCCCAAACCAUACAAACCUUUCCCCAGGUUAUAGGAAGAGCUCUCCCCAGAUAUGUGAAAUAAUUUCUUUUCCUAUAUCUCCCAUUCCUGAUGAACACUAGUUCCACUUCUUGUGCUUCUGUAGAUUUUAGAGGUGUGGGUAGAACUCUUUGCAUGAGAAGGGGACAGGAACAGGACCUGGCUGUGCUGCUGGUAACUUGGGGGAAAGUGUUCUGCUGGAUCUGAACUGUGGGCUAUUCCAAGGUAUAUUUAAAGAAGGUAAUUUUCACUGUUUGGUUAACUCACCCAAAUGUCUUUGGAGAUACAAAUAAAGAGGAAGCAAAACAGAUUAAAAUAUAAUCUAACAAGAGGCAAAAUUAGCAUUGAAGAUUAUCCCAUUUUUUAAAUUGUUAUGUUAUCCUUUUUGCUUGAAAUAGUUUAGAGGUUAUGCCAAAUUAACUCUUUGCCCAAGUUAAACCUGAAUUACCUCUCUCUAAACAGAAAAAUUAACGACAUUAUCUAUAUUCAAGAGAAGAGAGAGGAAAAUUGCCAAAAGCCAUAUAGCUCAGUGGUAGAAGAGUUUAGCUCUCAGGCUUGAGAGUUGUAAAUCCUCAAUGUUAACAGAAGUUUUACACAGUCAAAGAGUGAAAGUACAAUUUCUGUGUAGCAAUAGUGACAACAAUAUGGGGGAAAGCUUGGCAUUUUAAAGCAGACACACAAAUUCCACCCAGCUCCUUGUUCCUUUGUUUCCCAACAUUUGUCGAAUUCCUCCCACUUUCCAUGGUUUAUUUGGGAGUUCUUGCAGAUGUUUUAGAUUUCAUCUAAUCACAGUUAGGCACAGUUAUGUUUUUUUUUUUUAACAAUAUGAAAUACAUAAUUUAGUAUUAAACUCC
ensembl:lncRNA